GACGAAGGGGGCUAGCGUUGUUCGGAAUUACUGGGCGUAAAGCGCGUGUAGGCGGUUGUCCAAGUUGGAUGUGAAAGCCUUGAGCUUAACUCAAGAAAUGCAUUCAGGACUGGAUGACUAGAGGACCGGAGAGGAUAGUGGAAUUCCCAGUGUAGUGGUGAAAUACGUAGAGAUUGGGAAGAACACCAGUGGCGAAGGCGGCUAUCUGGACGGUUUCUGACGCUAAGACGCGAAAGCGUGGGGGGCAAACAGG
rnacentral:rRNA from 1 species